UACAGAGGUCUCGAGCGUUGUUCGGAUUCAUUGGGCGUAAAGGGUGCGUAGGUGGCGUGGUAAGUCGGAUGUGAAAUCCCGGGGCUCAACCCCGGAACUGCAUUCGAUACUGCCUUGCUAGAGUACUGGAGAGGAGAUUGGAAUUUACGGUGUAGCAGUGAAAUGCGUAGAUAUCGUAAGGAAGACCAGUGGCGAAGGCGGAUCUCUGGACAGUUACUGACGCUGAGGAGCGAAAGCGUGGGGAGCGAACAGG
rnacentral:rRNA from 1 species